rnacentral:rRNA from 1 species
UGGGGAAUUUUGGACAAUGGGGGAAACCCUGAUCCAGCCAUCCCGCGUGUGCGAUGAAGGCCUUCGGGUUGUAAAGCACUUUUGGCAGGAAAGAAACGUCAUGGGUUAAUACCCCGUGAAACUGACGGUACCUGCAGAAUAAGCACCGGCUAACUACGUGCCAGCAGCCGCGGUAAUACGUAGGGUGCAAGCGUUAAUCGGAAUUACUGGGCGUAAAGCGUGCGCAGGCGGUUCGGAAAGAAAGAUGUGAAAUCCCAGAGCUCAACUUUGGAACUGCCUUUUUAACUACCGGGCUAGAGUGUGUCAGAGGGAGGUGGAAUUCCGCGUGUAGCAGUGAAAUGCGUAGAUAUGCGGAGGAACACCGAUGGCGAAGGCCGCCUCCUGGGAUAACACUGACGCUCAUGCACGAAAGCGUGGGGAGCAAACAGG